UACGUAGGGUGCAAGCGUUGUCCGGAAUUAUUGGGCGUAAAGAGCGUGUAGGCGGCCCGAUUAGUCCGCUGUGAAAGUCCAGGGCUCAACCCUGGAAUGCCGGUGGAUACUGUCGGGCUAGAGUCCGGAAGAGGCGAGUGGAAUUCCUGGUGUAGCGGUGAAAUGCGCAGAUAUCAGGAGGAACACCAAUUGCGAAGGCAGCUCGCUGGGACGUUACUGACGCUGAGACGCGAAAGCGUGGGGAGCAAACAGG
rnacentral:rRNA from 1 species